rnacentral:lncRNA from 1 species
GGAAAUUAUAAAUACACAUAACAGGGCCAUGAGGUAAAUCUGGCUUCAAACCCUGAAAAUCCUGUUUAUUUUCCUUUUGAAAUUUGGCUACUUGUAAAGAUAAUUAGGUUGCACAUAAUCAAUCUUCAAGUCUUCCUUUGCCUAGGGUAAAAAAAAACCCUUCUAUUUCUUCUAUUGUGCCAGGAUCCACCAAUAAACUAAGGUCAAAGUGCAGGCAGCAGUAAAUAGAUUUUUAGGUUUUGUUUCAGUGCUUGUCUUUAUGUGUGUAUUUAAAAGUAAAAUUCAUCAAUUUUAGAAGACACAUUGCCAAAGAACAGUAAGCUUGACUUUGUUAUAUGCAUAUAUAACGUAUAACAUUUCAUUCUAAUAAGUUAUCCAAGAAUUUUCAGUCAUAGUUUCACUUAGCCCUGAAUUCUCUUUUAUGGGGGAAUGAGUAAUAUAAUUACAAAGAUAUUGUAGUAAUAAGCAUUUUAAGACUUUUAAUAAUUUUUAAGUCUUAAAGUUGUCUAAUAAUAUAUAACAACACUUUCUCAAAGAAUGCAUGUAGAACUGGAUAAAAAAAACUUUUUUUUCCUAACUUUAAACAUAAAUACAAAGAAAAAUACAUAAAACAUGCAAUCAGGAUGAUAGUCUUUUUGACUCAAUGAGCCAGAGAACUAAGUGAUACAAAUUUUUGCUACUUUUAACAAAUCUAUAAAACAAAUGGUUUAAUAUUGUCUGAAAUAUAUGCAUGAAUAAAUGGGAUGGUCUUUUAUUAAAAAAAUGUCAAUUUGAAAUAGGUAUUCGUGGCAAAAUUCUCUGUCAAACAAUGAGACCUAUUUUUGAUAUUUAUAUUCUAUCUCAGGAAAGGGUGGCAUGUAACUAACUUAAUGCAAAACAAUGGAAAUAAUGUGAAGCAAAUGUCAAUCAGAUGAACUUCCCUUCUUUUGCCAUUAUUUCCCCUUUUUCACUGUCUUCUCCAGAAGGCACUGCAAACAAAUGCUAAAAUGUUAUGGAAGUUAUAGAAAGCCUAAUUUUUUGGACUUUGUUGCCAUGAAUUAAGGAAUAUUUUUAAUGAUCUGAAAAUAUCAUAUUUGAAAUUAUUAGCAACAUUUCUAAAUGUUACUCACAAAACAGAUCUGUAUUUUUAAAAUUUCCUUAUCAGUGAGCAUAUUCAUGUUUAGUUGCAUUCAAUAAUAAAUCUGGUCUAAAUAUAACAUUGUAUAAUAAAAUAUUUCAAAUUUAUAUCACAGAUCCUUCUAGGUGGACCAACAGACAGUCGGUUGCCUGUUCAUGAGUACUACCUACCAUAAAUAUGACAACAUCUAUAAAACAAUUGGUCAUCCUCCUGAAAAUACCAAACCAUCUUAAAUAAGAAGAUCCUAUUCAUUCCUUGAAGAGUUUUUACAGAAAAGUUUAAGAAAUAUAAUUUACUGCAAUUACAAAUGUCUCUUAUGUUUUACAUUUUAUAUUUUGAUUAUUGUGGAGAAAAUGACAGAACUUAAGAAAUAAAUGGACUUCAGAAGUUCAAAAUUUAUUGUCUUUGAGAAAGUUAAUUUAGACUAGGAUUGGAUAGCUACUUUGGACUAUUCAUCACAUUGAUGGAUAUCAUACUUAAAGUUGUAAAUUGUUAGAUUCGAUAAAUAACUAACUAAAAUAUUUAUUUUUUUCAGACAUACAUUGUCUGGCCAUAAAACAAAUAUUUUACUAAAUUUCCAGUCUCAUUUCUUUAAAAAAUAUUAUAAUUGCAAAACAUUUCAUUAAAUCAUGUUUAUCUUCUGGGAAAUGUAUAUUUUCACUUGGCAUUUGGAUUCCCUAACAAUAUAAGCUUCUACAUUCAAGCAUGAAUUCCUUUGCAGAAAGUUUCUGUUCUCGAACUUGUAUCCAUUGCAUCUUGUAUAUGCUUGACUCUUGGUCAGCACAUGAUAGUUAUUGAAUGAAUGAACAAACUAUAAUAAGUUAUCUAUAUAUCAAAAAAGCAAGUAUACAAAAAGCCAAAAAAUUUUAACUUGUUCUUUGCUUUAUUUAUGUAAUUAAAUUGUCAUUAAUAUUCCAGUCGGUGUGGCGUAUUAAGACAUUUUUAAAAUGAAUGUACCACAUGUAGUCAAAUGAGUCUUUCUCCUAAAUUCCAUUAUUAUGGUAGACUACAGAAAUUCAAACAAUUGUGCAACAGAAUUUUGGUGCUUUUCUUUGGGAUUUGUUUCAGAGAUAGUUUAUGCACCAUACAAGAAAAUUAGUACUUAAGCCAUAUUUCAUUUUCAGUACAGUUUGAUUACCCUAGGGCUUUAAAAUUACUUUUGAUGAGGAUCCCUAAACAAUUCCCCUAUUAGAGGACAAAGAUUCACAAUUACAAAAUGAUUUCUGAAAAUGUUUUGAAUGAUGACAAUAUAACUGGAAUAAGGUUAUAACUUCACAAAGUUCUACAUUGAAGACCAAUGUUCAUUUAGAAAUAUUCAUGUGAGAAGGAAAGUUGCAUUACUUUAUUACCUUUUAUAGUAAUAAAAGCAAUCUCUCUCUAUAUAUAUAAUCUAUCUAAUCAAUAUUAAAUUUAACCUUAGCUAAUGCCUGAAAGGUUAGCAUAUGAAAGUGGAAUUAACUACUUUAAAGACUAUGAUUUGGUGAAUAUGUUAAUUAUUUAAAGUUUUGCUCUUUACCCAGGACUAAGUAACUAUAACUUAGUAUAGCUACUCAGAGAGGUCAGUUCAUUCUUCCAUUCUUAGUGCAUAAAAUCCUUUACUUAAAAACAGUGGCUCAGAAAAUGAAAGUUAAUGUGGAAAGGAAGAAAGGAAAGGUAGAGAGAAGAAAAUAAAUCUUUGAAGAGAAGGAUAUAAAUAAUUAAAAACAGGUAUUUAGACUUUCUCUAGACCUCUACCCUGCCUCCCCUCCCCACUCCAGAAGAGUGAUUCUGAUGUAGCAUACACUCAGUGGAGUCUCACUAGAAACACAACAUAAACAGGGAGACAUUUGAAGAAGAUAUUGAAGUAUUGGUUCUCUUUUCUCAUAAGAUCUUAGCUAUGUGGGGAUAUUGUGAUUACAGUAUAACUGUUAAAGUGAAGUACAGAACAGAAAUCUUCUUCAUCUUCCUGAUGUGAUCAUUUUUGUCCCUAUGCUAAUGUGGAUAUGAAGCAAUAUUUUAUAAAUACCCCAAACAUUUCAAUAUAAGUUUAAUGAAUUCUAUCAUUUUCUUUGGAUUUCUCUGCAUAUAUCAAAGGGAAAAAAAAGACCAUCUAAUUUGUGCUCUAUGUAGAAAUACCAGUGCAAGAGAACCAAACUAGGAUUAGAAUAUCAGGAAGGCAUAGAGAGAAGACGUGAAGGUGUCUGGACAAUGAAUAUAGAGGGACAGCAGGAAUGAUGUUUAGCUCAUGAUCUUCUCAACCCAUUUCAAUGACAGAAAUAAAAAAUUUAUAGCUUUCCCUUGUCUUAUGUUGCAUCUAGCCAUCUUCUUUUGGCUUUCUAUGUUCUUUGACCCUCUUUAAUGCGAAGAGAUCAAAUUGUACAAUGGUAUUCACUUUCAUAAGUUACUUAGCUAUGUGACUUCAAAGCCUACAUUUUCGAUUUUCACAGAGGUUGUUUAUAUUAAAAUUUACUUAACUAGAAUAAAAUAUAUUAGUUAUCUAUGUAUAAAUCUUAUAUUAAGAUAAUUUAAAUCUUAUCUUUCAAUAGGAUUUUACCCCAAUCUUGAAGCUUAAUUAUGGGCUGUUAAAAUGUUUUUUCUUGAAACAAUUAUUAUUUUACAUUUGUUACUAUGGAAGCAAGAAUACUUAGUCCCCAGGGGAAAACAUCCUAUAAAAGUCUCAAAGAAUGCAAAUGUCAUAAAAGAGAGGUAUAUAUCUUCAUCCUUUCUCCAUAUUUUUAUUGGUGCAUUAUAAUUAUACAUAGUAGUGGGAUCUGUUGUUACAUAUUUGUACAUGCACAUGAUAUCACAAUAUAAUUUGGUUCAAUACAUUCCCCAGUAUUUCCCCCUCUCUCUCCUCCUCCCUUUCCCUGGUCCCUUUCCUCUACUAGUCUUCCUUGAUUAUGAAAAUUGAAGGCUGUCUUUUGUAGAGUCAGCUAUAUAUGAAAUGAGAUGGACAGUUUCUAGGAAUUGGGAAAGAUACAUCUUAUGAUCUCUGUAAAUCUUUAAAUUAUGAAUAUCACAAUGAUAUAUAAUAUUUCCCCCCCAAAAAACUUUGAGAACAAUUAAACUUGCUUAAAAUGUGGUUAUCACUUGGCUGGCUAGGCUCUAUAUACCAACCUUACCAUUGAUGAAGUUCAAGUUUGAAACUCUCAUUCACUAGAAAAACUCACCAGCUUCAUCAUAGAUGGGUUCAAAUUUGAAACUCAAUAAUAUUACAGUGGUUUUCUGUAUCAGGGAUUGAACUCAGGGGCACUCAACCACUGAGCUAUACUGGCAGCCCUUUUGAUUUUUUAUUUUGAGAUAUUAAGUUGGUUAGGCGCUUGCUAAGUUACUAAGGCUGGCUUUGAACUUGCCCUCCUCCUGCCUCAGAGUCCUGAGUGACUGGGAUUAUAGGCAUUUGCCACUGUACCCAGUAAUUUUUUUUAGUUAUUUGAGCAUAUGUGAA